rnacentral:rRNA from 1 species
UACGUAGGGGGCUAGCGUUGUCCGGAAUCAUUGGGCGUAAAGCGCGUGUAGGCGGUCCGGUAAGUCCGCUGUGAAAGUCGGGGGCUCAACCCUCGGAUGCCGGUGGAUACUGUCGGGCUUGAGUACGGAAGAGGCGAGUGGAAUUCCUGGUGUAGCGGUGAAAUGCGCAGAUAUCAGGAGGAACACCGGUGGCGAAGGCGCUCAUCUGGCCCAAUACUGACGCUGCAGCGCGAAAGCUAGGGGAGCAAACGGG